rnacentral:rRNA from 1 species
CCUACGGGUGGCAGCAGUGAGGAAUAUUGGUCAAUGGACGCAAGUCUGAACCAGCCAUGCCGCGUGCAGGAAGACGGCUCUAUGAGUUGUAAACUGCUUUUGUACGAGGGGAAACGCAGAUACGCGUAUCUGUCUGAAAGUAACGUACGAAUAAGGAUCGGCUAACUCCGGGCCAGCAGCCGCGGUAAGACGGAGGAUUCAAGCGUUAUCCGGAUUUAUUGGGGUUAAAGGGUGCGUAGGCGGGCGGUUAAGUUAGAGGUGAAAUCCCGAGGCUCAACUUCGGAAUUGCCUCUGAUACUGUUCGCCUAGAGCUUAGUUGCGGUCGGCGGAAUGUAUGGUGUAGCGG